CGGCCACAUUGGAACUGAGAAACGGUCCAAACUCCUACGGGAGGCAGCAGUGGGGAAUAUUGCACAAUGGGGGAAACCCUGAUGCAGCGACGCCGCGUGAGCGAUGAAGGCUUUCGAGUCGUAAAGCUCUGUCCUAUGGGAAGAUAAUGACGGUACCAUAGAAGAAAGCCCCGGCUAAUUACGUGCCAGCAGCCGCGGUAAUACGUAAGGGGCGAGCGUUGUCCGGAAUUAUUGGGCGUAAAGAGUGCGUAGGCGGCAAAUUAAGUCAGAUGUGAAAACUAAGGGCUCAACCCAUAGAUUGCAUCUGAAACUGAUAUGCUUGAGUCAAGGAGAGGAAAGUGGAAUUCCUAGUGUAGCGGUGGAAUGCGUAGAUAUUAGGAGGAAUACCGGUGGCGAAGGCGACUUUCUGGACUUGAACUGACGCUGAGGCACGAAAGCGUGGGGAGCAAACAGGAUUAGAUACCCUGGUAGUCCACGCCGUAAACGAUGAGUGCUAGGUGUCUGCUCACAAGAGUAGGUGCCGUACGUUAACACAUUAAGCACUCCGCCUGGGGAGUACGUACGCAAGUAUGAAACUCAAAGGAAUUGACGGGGACCCGCACAAGCAGCGGAGCAUGUGGUUUAAUUCGAGGCUACGCGAAGAACCUUACCAGGACUUGACAUACCAAGGAAAGUUUUUAGAGAUAAAAACCCUAGAUUUAUCUACCUUGGAUACAGGUGGUGCAUGGUUGUCGUCAGCUCGUGUCGUGAGAUGUUGGGUUAAGUCCCGCAACGAGCGCAACCCUUACAUUUAGUUACUAACAGGUCAAGCUGAGGACUCUAGAUGGACUGCCGAUGACAAAUCGGAGGAAGGUGGGGAUGACGUCAAAUCAUCAUGCCCUUUAUGUCCUGGGCUACACACGUGCUACAAUGGUCGGUACAAAGAGAAGCUAAAUAGCGAUAUCAAGCAAACCUCAAAAAACCGAUCCCAGUUCGGAUUGAUCUCUGCAACUCGAGAUCAUGAAGCCGGAGUUGCUAGUAAUCGCAGAUCAGAAUGCUGCGGUGAAUGCGUUCCCGGGUCUUGUACACACCGCCCGUCACACCAUGGGAGUAGGCAAUACCCGAAGCCUGUGAGCUAACCAUUUGGAGGCAGCAGUCGAAGGUAGGGUCAAUGACUGGGGUGAAGUCGUAACAAGGUAGCCGUAUCGGAAGGUGCGGCUG
rnacentral:rRNA from 1 species